AUUGAACGCUGGCGGCAGGCCUAACACAUGCAAGUCGAGCGGAUGAAGGGAGCUUGCUCCUGGAUUCAGCGGCGGACGGGUGAGUAAUGCCUAGGAAGCUGCCUGGUAGUGAGGGAUAACGUACGGAAACGGGCGCUAAUACCGCAUACGUCCUGAUGGAGAAAGUGGGGGAUCUUCGGACCUCACGCUAUCAGAUGAGCCUAGGUCGGAUUAGCUAGUUGGUGGGGUAAAGGCCUACCAAGGCGACGAUCCGUAACUGGUCUGAGUGGCUGAUCAGUCACACUGGAACUGAGACACGGUCCAGACUCCUACGGGAGGCAGCAGUGGGGAAUAUUGGACAAUGGGCGAAAGCCUGAUGCAGCCAUGCCGCGUGUGUGAAGAAGGUCUUCGGAUUGUAAAGCACUUUAAGUUGGGAGGAAGGGCAGUAAGUUAAUAUCUUGCUGUUUUGACGUUACCAACAGAAUAAGCACCGGCUAACUUCGUG
rnacentral:rRNA from 1 species